ACAGAUGAAAUGCAAAGAGAAAAUUUAUUUUUGUUACCUCACCAACCAGGGGAUCCCCAAAGCAGCACCUGGGCAGAGGCACACAAGCGCGAACACAGCCACCACAGAGCUUGGUCCUUGCUUGAGGAUCUCCGAACCUGCUGUUUUCACCUGCUUUUCAAGGAUUUGUGCAGGUGUAUUUUACCACUGUGCUUUGAUCUUUCCCACAGCACUUUGAUCUUUCCCACAGCAGGGCAGGAAUCUCAAGCAUGUUUGACAGGGUGCCUCUGAGUCUAUGACAGGCCUGUGUUAUCUAAACACAGAUGUUCUACUUGUCAAGCACACAAGACUAAACAACGAUUAAUAUGAUAUAUGUGUUUUUCUACACCCCAGCUGCAAGUCACUUGAGCGUGUUUACAAUCCUCCUCGCCAAUCUUCCAUUAUUUUCCCACAGUCUCCAUGUCAUUAAUAC